UCUUUAUACUAUCGAAUGAACUAAGGCACAAUAUGAGAUCAGUGAUUAUAAAACAUUAUUAAAAUUGAUUAACUUUUUGAACUUAAGUUAAAAAACCUCUUGGCGAUGUAUUUCCCUGUCUCGUACAUUUCAAACAAUGAAGAGAGGGAGCCUAAAGCUCAAGUCGAAAAUGCGUGACGUCACGACUCUGCGCAAUGUCACAGUGGAAUGGUUCAGCUAGGUUUUCGCGGAUUUGGUUGAUAAAAGGGUAAGACUACACUAGCCAAGGAAUCUGUGGCGGUUUUGACAAGGCAAAGAUCUAGAGACAGGCGUCUGCCAUGAGAUCGCGUGCCGUGACAACGUACAGAAGGUUCUACUAUUCCAUGACAAGCAGUUCGGGGCUCUCUAUUGUGUCAGCAGACGACCAAUCGAUUGGCGGGAACAGAAGGAUGCUUGGAGCGUCUUAGUGCACGCGAGGGCUUGCUUUCCAUCAAACAAAAGACCAUGUGUGUACGCCCGUACUUGAGGCCGCGUCGUUGUUACGUAUCAAUCAUUGACCGAUUCAACAAGCGAAAUAAAGCAUACAUUAACAGAUGUGUUACAUGUAAACUAUUUUGCCCCCAAACGCUUCAAAAUUGAUGUGAGAGCAUGAGAUCGUGAUGAGAACAGAAACACCAGGAAGUAACGCACAAUGCACGUCGUUAUACUCUACUCUACGAGAGACUACCCCAAGUACAUUGUCAUCGCUAGGAACACGUUCAAUAUUACCCAUUUCUCGUUUCAACCUGCCCGUUACAAUCAUUACAACCCCAUUAGUCGCAAAAGAGUAGAUCAUUUAUAAAGUUUAUUUCUUGUAAGUCGAAAAGCCGUGAGACAAAAGCAAACUUGCACGGCUUUUUAUGUCAUCGAUUAGAUGCUGUCAGACAAUCAGUGUUCCAAAAAUGUCAUAAAGUGGGAGCUUUUAGCAUACAGUUAAGCAAACAAAGUACAGUGGCGAAUGAUUUAAAUCAUCCAUGUUUUUCAAGGCUCAACGUGACGUCACCACGAGACGAGUCACAAGUUUCAGUUUUAAAGGGAAUAUUUAGCGUUCUGGACACGGCAAGAUCUGGAGAUGCAGGCAUUUGCCAUGUCAUUGAGAUCGCGUGUCUUGACAAUGUACAGAAGGUUCUACUAUUCCAUGACAAGCAGAUCGGGGCUCUCUAUUGUGUCAGCAGACGACCAAUCGAUUUUUUUAGGGGGGGGGGGGGAGAAGGAUGCUUGGGGCGUUUUAGUGCAGUGUACUUGAAUAAGCAUAGAUGUGUGUUGCUCUUUAGAAUAUGUAUCUACAUAACUCCAAAGGUCUUGUAAUUAAAUUCCUGCAUGUGGUUGAAUGAUUCAUCUGAUGUGAUAUGCACAUUUUGUCAGCUUUGUUUCUCUUUUCAUAUUGAAAUUUAAUGAGAGUAAUAUAUAAUUUGAAUCUUUAUGUAUACCUGCAUGUGUUUGUACGGUCCUGUGCAGCCAAGAAAACUUUCCUUCUGGGAUAAUACAGUACAUGUAUUAUCUUAUCUUUUCUUAUCUUACUAGAAGGCUUGCUUUUUUAUCAACAGCACAAUUACAGUUAGCAUGUGCAUGGGUGGUUGGUGAGCGCUUUUGUGUGGUCUAUCCCUUCUUUCCUGUCAAGCAUUUAUCGUCACCAUCUCUCCUCCUUCUUUUCUUUGUGUGUGACUUUCCAGUAACACCUCUAAUAAAAACACCUAUAUGGUUUAUUUGUGUUACGAAAAGCUGUAAAACUGUUACAAAAAUAUGCAUAUUAAUAUUAUCAUUAAUUACAGCUACGUACUUUUAAUCAACAACUUCAAAACAAGCCAAAUAAAGCAUACAUUAACAAAUGAAUUAGGUACAAACUAUUUUGUCCCCAUAAAUUAUUGUUUCGCCUGUGAGCCAGGACUAUAUAUUUAUAUCGAGAGAUGGUGACAUAUACAUGUAUGUUUUAUUUUAAAAAAUAUUUUGUUAAUACAAAUCGUCGCCAUCAUUCAUCGUCAUCGUAUGUCAAAAUACAAGCUUUUCACUGGAAGCAAAAA